CCACAAGAUACUAGGUACUUCGCCCACAAGAUACUAGGUACUUCUCCCACAGGUACUAGGUACUUCUCCCACAAGGUACUAGGUACUUCUCCCACAAGAUACUAGGUACUUCCCCCACAAGGUACUGAGUACUUCUCCCCCACAAGAUACUAGGUACUUCUCCCACAAGAUACUAGGUACUUCUCCCACAAGAUACUAGGUACUUCUCCCACAAGGUACUAGGUACUUCUCCCACAAGAUACUAGGUACUUCUCCCACAAGGUACUAGGUACUUCUCCCACAAGAUACUAGGUACUUCUCCC
rnacentral:lncRNA from 1 species